rnacentral:rRNA from 1 species
CCCUUAGAUGUUCUGGGCUGCACGCGCGCUACACUGAAGCUAUCAACACGUUUUCCCUCCCUGAGAAGGGCGGGUAACCUUUUGAAUCAGCUUCGUGGUAGGGAUCGGGGCUUGCAAUUGUUCCCCGUGAACCAGGAAUUCCUAGUAGACGCGAGCCAUAAGCUCGCAUCGAUUAAGUCCCUGCCCUUUGUACACACCGCCCGUCGCUACUACCGAUUGAACGUUUUAGUGAGGCAUUUGGACCGACGCAUCUCAGUUUAACCGCUGGUUUGUGUUGGAAAGACUUCCAAACUUGAGCGUUUAGAGGAAGUAAAAGUCGUAACA